rnacentral:rRNA from 11 species
AAUUACAGACAAAUAUCCAAAAGGCACCAGAUCCUUUCUGAUCUCAGAAACAAAGCAGGAUCAGCCCUGGUUAGUACCUGGAUAGGGGAGUGGCCAUGAAUACUAGAAGCUGCAGGCU